GGCGAACGGGUGAGUAAUACUUGGGAAUCUGCCUUGUAGCGGGGGAUAACGUUUCGAAAGGAACGCUAAUACCGCAUACGUCCUACGGGAGAAAGGAGGGGAUCUUCGGACCUUCCACUAUAAGAUGAGCCCAAGCGAGAUUAGCUAGUUGGUAAGGUAAAGGCUUACCAAGGCGACGAUCUCUAGCUGGUCUGAGAGGAUGAUCAGCCACACUGGGACUGAGACACGGCCCAGACUCCUACGGGAGGCAGCAGUGGGGAAUAUUGGACAAUGGGCGAAAGCCUGAUCCAGCCAUGCCGCGUGUGUGAAGAAGGCCUUCGGGUUGUAAAGCACUUUAAGCGAGGAGGAAUGGCUCUGGGUUAAUACCCUUGAGCAGUGACGUUACUCGCAGAAUAAGCACCGGCUAACUCUGUGCCAGCAGCCGCGGUAAUACAGAGGGUGCAAGCGUUAAUCGGAAUUACUGGGCGUAAAGCGCGCGUAGGCGGUUACGUAAGUUGGAGGUGAAAUCCCCGAGCUCAACUUGGGAAUUGCCUUCAAAACUGCGUGGCUAGAGUGUGGGAGAGGAAGGUAGAAUUCCAGGUGUAGCGGUGAAAUGCGUAGAUAUCUGGAGGAAUACCGAUGGCGAAGGCAGCCUUCUGGCCUAACACUGACGCUGAGGUGCGAAAGCAUGGGGAGCAAACAGGAUUAGAUACCCUGGUAGUCCAUGCCGUAAACGAUGUCUACUAGCCGUUGGGGGACUUGAUCCUUUAGUGGCGCAGCUAACGCAUUAAGUACACCGCCUGGGGAGUACGGUCGCAAGACUAAAACUCAAAUGAAUUGACGGGGGCCCGCACAAGCGGUGGAGCAUGUGGUUUAUUUCGAUGCAACGCGAAGAACCUUACCUGGCCUUGACAUGUCUGGAAUCCUGUAGAGAUACGGGAGUGCCUUCGGGAAUCAGA
rnacentral:rRNA from 1 species